rnacentral:tRNA from 1 species
UAAAAGAUAGUUUAAAUUUAAAAUAAUACUAUUACAAAGUAUAGAUCUGUGGUUAGUCUUUUAA